rnacentral:rRNA from 1 species
AUUGAACGCUGGCGGCAGGCCUAACACAUGCAAGUCGAGCGGAUGAAGGGAGCUUGCUCCUGGAUUCAGCGGCGGACGGGUGAGUAAUGCCUAGGAAUCUGCCUGGUAGUGGGGGAUAACGUCCGGAAACGGGCGCUAAUACCGCAUACGUCCUGAGGGAGAAAGUGGGGGAUCUUCGGAUCUCACGCUAUCAGAUGAGCCUAGGUCGGAUUAGCUAGUUGGUGGGGUAAAGGCCUACCAAGGCGACGAUCCGUAACUGGUCUGAGAGGAUGAUCAGUCACACUGGAACUGAGACACGGUCCAGACUCCUACGGGAGGCAGCAGUGGGGAAUAUUGGACGAUGGGCGAAAGCCUGAUCCAGCCAUGCCGCGUGUGUGAAGAAGGUCUUCGGAUUGUAAAGCACUUUAAGUUGGGAGGAAGGGCAGUAAGUUAAUACCGUGCUGUUUUGACGUUACCAACAGAAUAAGCACCGGCUAACUUCGUG